UACAGAGGGUGCGAGCGUUGUUCGGAAUUAUUGGGCGUAAAGGGCGCGUAGGCGGUUCGUACAGUCAGACGUGAAAUUCCUGAGCUCAACCUGGGGGCUGCGUUUGAUACGUGCGGACUUGAGUGCGGAAGAGGGUCGUGGAAUUCCCAGUGUAGAGGUGAAAUUCGUAGAUAUCUGGAAGAACACCAAAGGCGAAGGCAGUGUCCUGGGUGGUCGCUGACGCUGAGAGGCGAAAGCCAGGGGAGCGAACGGG
rnacentral:rRNA from 1 species